rnacentral:pre_miRNA from 11 species
GGGCUCUGUGUGUGUGUGUGUGUGUGUGUGUGUGUGUGUGUGUGUGUGUGUGACUCAUUCAGUGCUCAUGCGCCCAACUCCUCGGCUA